rnacentral:misc_RNA from 1 species
GAUGAAGAACGCAGCGAAAUGCGAUAAGUAAUGUGAAUUGCAGAAUUCAGUGAAUCAUCGAAUCUUUGAACGCACAUUGCGCCCCUUGGUAUUCCGAGGAGCAUGCCUGUUCGAGCGUCAUUAUAACCCCUCAAGCUCAGCUUGGUGUUGGGGCCUGCCGCACGGGCAGCCCUUAAAAUCAGUGGCGGUGCCAUCUGGCUCUAAGCGUAGUAAUUCUUCUCGCUAUAGAGUCCCGGUGGAUGCUUGCCAUUAACCCCCAAUUUUCUAUGGUUGACCUCGGAUCAGGUAGGGAUACCCGCUGAACUUAAGCAUAUCAAUAAGCGGAGGA